GUCUUCAAUGAGGUUGCUGUCAGUCAGAUAGCAGCGAGGAAAGACAACAGGUGCUGAUAUCUGCCUCGUCAUUUCUUUGUUCCUUACAGAAUGGAGGAGACGAGAUCGGACGAGUCCUUGUGCUCCUCUCGCUGUGGCGGAAAUUGGCGAAAGCCGUCCUGGCGCUGCCUGUGCGUCCUGUCGUUGGCGAUGACCUGCGAGAGGGGUAUACUGAAGGCUUGAGGGACGCCUUCUGGGAGACACAAAAAGAAGAAGCCAUGAAGUCUUCCCGUGUCUCCAUAAAAAGACAAGUCUCAAGGAGGGCGGACUUCUCUUUGCCUGUUGAUAAUAAAACAAGCACCGCUCCACCCCGACCCACUCCCACAUGCGACAGGUUCUGGUAAGGAGAUGCACGGCGUUGUCACGGCGAGGUAUAAGUGACGACUGUGGGUUUGAAACUAUUUCCCUGCAGCGCUACGCAGUUAAGCCACAGCAAGAACGCAUUUAAAUCACAUCCUUAGGAAGAGUGGCAGCAAGUCACUUCCUCACAAAAUGGACAAAAAGCAUUAUGUCUGCUGACUUGUUCUCCAGGUCAAAGUUUAGUCAAGAAAACUUGUGAUCAGUGUAAAUUGAAACACAGUACUAAUGAAAAGAGGCCACAUGUUUGGCACACACACACACACACACACACAUCCAUAUAUAAAUUUGAGAACAAGGGUAAAAUAAAGUGCUUGACUUGAAUAAAUUGACCUCCUUUUUUCUGAAGGGGCUGUUUGCGUUUGGAGCGGCCGUGCAGUAAAACAAACACUUCAGCAGGUAGCGAGAUGACAGACGCGUUGUGCUGUUUAGCUUGAAGACGAGGCGCGAUGGAGUGAAAUGGGUGACGUCAAAGUGGGAGAGAAACGGGGGAGACUUCGGGGGCUUCUAUAAACACAAACGGCACAGGAAGAGAAGGCAUUUUGCGUUUGAGGGUGGUGAUGAGAGACAGACACACAAAGACUAAUGGAGUCUACGGGGCUUCAGGUCAGACAGGUGAUCAAUGUUUGUAUCAUACGAAUACGGGUAUACAUGAUAAACCACGGUAAAAAAAGCA